CCGGGGGUGGGACAGCCAUCCCUGGCCCCUUCCUUGGGUUGAGAUACAGUCCUCCACCCAGGAGGGCUGCUCAACAGGUCCUGGGUGUGCUGGGCUCCCUGGGUGUCUGUCUCCUUAAGGACAGGAGUUCAUAGGGGGACAGAAGCAGGCCACGUUCUCAGCUCUGUCUUCCCUCCCAGGAGUGUCUGGACCUCGAGAAUUUUGCGUCCCUCCACGCCAUUCUCUUGGCCCUGCAGAGCCCUGCCAUCAGUCGUCUGCAAUGCACCUGGGGACGUGUUUCCUGGAAGAGCUCCAGGAUGCAUAAGAGACUUGAAAAAGAGAAGUGGCUUAACCGGAAGAGGCUCCUCAAGGAGGCGACCUCCAUGGUGACGCAACAGCAUCGUUUCCUCCGGAGAUCUGAGGAUAGGCAGGAGGUGAGAGUGGCCUGGCCAGGGUCAUGGCUGUGGGGGAGACCCUGCACUUGCUGCUGGCGCCACCAGCCCUGAACUGCCAGGACUGGGGUGACCAGGAGGGAGAGAGCAGCUGGGUACAGAGGACGGGUGCAGGGACCACAGGUCUUGGAAUUGGCCAAAAGCCAGUCCUAGGAGGGACAGGAGGGGAGAGCAGGGCGAAGGGAGGGCGUGCAAGGAAGCACAGGGUGGUCCAAGGGGAGCUAGGGGCUGCGAGUGAGGGGUUCAGGGGAGGCUCUAUGGGCUCCCCUGAGGUAGACGGGGCACCUCCCCACCCCAGUGGCACAGCAUGGUCCCCUUCUUCGGAUUGUUCAUGGCUGGCCUGCUGGUCCUAGACAAACCCCUGGAACAGAAUGAUGUGAGUGAGCCCAGAGGGGCACAGGGUGUGCAGGAUGGUGAGCUUUGAAGAGGAGAGAGACCCUAGUGAGCCGGAGCUCUCAGCACCAGGCCACCCGCCUCUUGGGAGUCUCCCCUCCACCCCAGGGGCUGGGCUCCUUGGAGAGGGCAGCCAGAAGGACCCCUGCCCCCCUUAAGCCCCGGUCCUGGCCCCAGGGCAGGUGGGGCUGAGGGCUACAGGCUGCAGCCUCUGAGCAGGAUGGCCUCUCCCUCAGGCCCUGCCCAGGGGGAGGGAUGUUGCUCCUUCAAGGCAGGAAGCACAGGAGGGGGCUGCCCAUGCCUUCCUGCCUGAGGCCUCAGUCUCCGUGUCAUCAGAGAGAGUUGCAUGGGAAGCUUGGCCUCAGCUCCUCGGUACCCCAGAUCCUGG